rnacentral:rRNA from 1 species
GUCUAUGACCAUGCUAUCCUCUGAUCUUGGAAACUAAGCAGGGUCGGGCCUAGUUAGUACUUGGAUGGGAGACCACCUAGAAAGAUCAGGUACUGUAGGUG